GAACUGCUGAGGAGUCCCAUAAUAAGACUAAACGGCCGUCCGGUGA
rfam:Schistosoma rodhaini strain Burundi genome assembly, scaffold: SROB_scaffold0002860